rnacentral:rRNA from 1 species
AGCAUAUCAAUAAGCGGAGGAAAAGAAACUAACAAGGAUUCCCCUAGUAACUGCGAGUGAAGCGGGAAAAGCUCAAAUUUAAAAUCUGGCGGUCUUUGGCCGUCCGAGUUGUAGUCUGGAGAAGUGCUUUCCGCGCUGGACCGUGUACAAGUCUCUUGGAACAGAGCGUCAUAGAGGGUGAGAAUCCCGUCUUUGACACGGACUACCAGUGCUUUGUGAUGCGCUCUCAAAGAGUCGAGUUGUUUGGGAAUGCAGCUCAAAAUGGGUGGUAAAUUCCAUCUAAAGCUAAAUAUUGGCGAGAGACCGAUAGCGAACAAGUACCGUGAGGGAAAGAUGAAAAGCACUUUGGAAAGAGAGUUAAACAGUACGUGAAAUUGCUGAAAGGGAAACGCUUGAAGUCAGUCGCGUUGGCCAGGACUCAGCCUUGCUUUUUGGCUUGGUGCAUUUUCUGGUUGACGGGCCAGCAUCGAUUUUGACUGUCGGAAAAAGGCUGGGGGAAUGUGGCACCUUCGGGUGUGUUAUAGCUCUCAGUCACAUACGGCAGUUGGGAUCGAGGACCGCAGCACGCCUUUAUGGCCGGGGUUCGCCCACGUUCGUGCUUAGGAUGCUGGCGUAAUGGCUUUAAACGACCCGUCUUGAAACACGGACCAAGGAGUCUAACAUGCCUGCGAGUGUUUGGGUGGAAAACCCGAGCGCGUAAUGAAAGUGAAAGUUGAGAUCCCUGUCGUGGGGAGCAUCGACGCCCGGACCUGAACUUCGGUGAUGGCUCUGCGGUAGAGCAUGUAUGUUGGGACCCGAAAGAUGGUGAACUAUGCCUGAAUAGGGUGAAGCCAGAGGAAACUCUGGUGGAGGCUCGUAGCGAUUCUGACGUGCAAAUCGAUCGUCAAAUUUGGGUAUAGGGGCGAAAGACUAAUCGAACCAUCUAGUAGCUGGUUCCUG